GAUGAACGCUGGCGGCGUGCCUAAUACAUGCAAGUCGAGCGAACGGACGAGAAGCUUGCUUCUCUGAUGUUAGCGGCGGACGGGUGAGUAACACGUGGAUAACCUACCUAUAAGACUGGGAUAACUUCGGGAAACCGGAGCUAAUACCGGAUGAUAUUUUGAACCGCAUGGUUCAAAAGUGAAAGACGGUCUUGCUGUCACUUAUAGAUGGAUCCGCGCUGCAUUAGCUAGUUGGUAAGGUAACGGCUUACCAAGGCAACGAUGCAAAGCCGACCUGAGAGGGUGAUCGGCCACACUGGAACUGAGACACGGUCCAGACUCCUACGGGAGGCAGCAGUAGGGAAUCUUCCGCAAUGGGCGAAAGCCUGACGGAGCAACGCCGCGUGAGUGAUGAAGGUCUUCGGAUCGUAAAACUCUGUUAUCAGGGAAGAACAUAUGUGUAAGUAACUGUGCACAUCUUGACGGUACCUAAUCAGAAAGCCACGGCUAACUACGUG
rnacentral:rRNA from 1 species